UGGGGAAUAUUGCACAAUGGGCGCAAGCCUGAUGCAGCCAUGCCGCGUGUGUGAAGAAGGCCUUCGGGUUGUAAAGCACUUUCAGCGAGGAGGAAGGUGGUGGACUUAAUACGUUCAUCAAUUGACGUUACUCGCAGAAGAAGCACCGGCUAACUCCGUGCCAGCAGCCGCGGUAAUACGGAGGGUGCAAGCGUUAAUCGGAAUUACUGGGCGUAAAGCGCACGCAGGCGGUUCGUUAAGUCAGAUGUGAAAUCCCCGGGCUCAACCUGGGAACUGCAUUUGAAACUGGCAAGCUAGAGUCUCGUAGAGGGGGGUAGAAUUCCAGGUGUAGCGGUGAAAUGCGUAGAGAUCUGGAGGAAUACCGGUGGCGAAGGCGGCCCCCUGGACGAAGACUGACGCUCAGGUGCGAAAGCGUGGGGCAGCAAACAGGAUUAGAUACCCUGGUAGUCCACGCUGUAAACGAUGUCGAUUUGGAGGUUGUGCCCUUGAGGCGUGGCUUCCGGAGCUAACGCGUUAAAUCGACCGCCUGGGGAGUACGGCCGCAAGGUUAAAACUCAAAUGAAUUGC
rnacentral:rRNA from 1 species